rnacentral:rRNA from 1 species
AUUCCCCUACGGGGCGCAGCAGUAGGGAAUUUUCGUCAAUGGGCGCAAGCCUGAACGAGCAAUGCCGCGUGAACGAGGAAGGUCUUCGGAUCGUAAAGUUCUGUUGAAGGGGAAAAAGAGCGGAGAGAGGAAAUGGUCUCCGAUUGAUAUUAACCUUCGAGGAAGUCACGGCUAACUACGUGCCAGCAGCCGUGGUAAUACGUAGGUGGCGAGCGUUAUCCGGAAUGCUUGGGCGUAAAGGGUGCGUAGGCGGCCUGCUAAGUCUGGAGUGAACGGUACCGGCUCAACCGGUACAGGCUCUGGUA